GACAGAGGGUGCAAACGUUGUUCGGAAUUACUGGGCGUAAAGCGCGUGUAGGCGGCCCUGCAAGUCGGAUGUGAAAUCCCACGGCUCAACCCGUGGAAGUGCAUUCGAAACUGCAGGGCUAGAGUCCUGGAGAGGAAGGUGGAAUGCUUGGUGUAGAGGUGAAAUUCGUAGAUAUCAAGCGGAACACCGGUGGCGAAGGCGGCCUUCUGGACAGUGACUGACGCUGAGACGGCGAAAGCGUGGGGA
rnacentral:rRNA from 1 species